GUGGCGAACGGGUGAGUAAUAUAUCGGAACGUGCCCAGUUGUGGGGGAUAACUACUCGAAAGAGUGGCUAAUACCGCAUGAGACCUGAGGGUGAAAGCGGGGGACUCGCAAGAGCCUCGCGCAGUUGGAGCGGCCGAUAUCAGAUUAGCUAGUUGGCGGGGUAAAAGCCCACCAAGGCAACGAUCUGUAGCUGGUCUGAGAGGACGACCAGCCACACUGGGACUGAGACACGGCCCAGACUCCUACGGGAGGCAGCAGUGGGGAAUUUUGGACAAUGGACGCAAGUCUGAUCCAGCCAUGCCGCGUGCGGGAAGAAGGCCUUCGGGUUGUAAACCGCUUUUGUCAGGGAAGAAACGGCUCGGGUUAAUACCUUGGGCUAAUGACGGUACCUGAAGAAUAAGCACCGGCUAACUACGUGCCAGCAGCCGCGGUAAUACGUAGGGUGCAAGCGUUAAUCGGAAUUACUGGGCGUAAAGCGUGCGCAGGCGGUUAUGCAAGACAGAUGUGAAAUCCCCGGGCUCAACCUGGGAACUGCAUUUGUGACUGCAUGGCUAGAGUACGGUAGAGGGGGAUGGAAUUCCGCGUGUAGCAGUGAAAUGCGUAGAUAUGCGGAGGAACACCGAUGGCGAAGGCAAUCCCCUGGACCUGUACUGACG
rnacentral:rRNA from 1 species